CCGGCGCACGGGUGAGUAACGCGUAUGCAACUUACCUAUCAGGAGGGGAGAACCGGCGAAAGUCGGACUAAUACCGCAUGAAGCAGGGGCCCCGCAUGGGGAUAUUUGCUAAAGAUUCAUCGCUGAUAGAUAGGCAUGCGUUCCAUUAGGCAGUUGGCGGGGUAACGGCCCACCAAACCGACGAUGGAUAGGGGUUCUGAGAGGAAGGUCCCCCACAUUGGUACUGAGACACGGACCAA
rnacentral:rRNA from 1 species